rnacentral:lncRNA from 1 species
GUCCUCUGACUCUCGAAGCCUCCUCCUCAAGACCUCGGACUCCGCCUCGGCAUCCUUGAUUGCCUGCUGCUCGUGGACCAACUAAACUUUCAGCCACCGUAAUUCGGCUUCCUCCCACCCAAGGGCUACAGACAGUUCCGCCAUAGUCCCCCUCAAGGAGCAAAGCUCGUCAGAACCUUGUGCAGGGAUAGGCUGGACACUCUCGGAUAACUGCCUCUGAAGGCGGGCA